CUGAGCUAUUUAAGGCAAUAAGAGAACUGUGUAUAUGGGGCAAUUCUGGCACUGUUGCCAUGGAAUGUUCCUACUGAUUGCCCAGCUAUUAACUUUGUUACAGAACGUUGCCUCACACAUGACCCCUGUCAUUGAGCUUUUGUAAUGUGACAUAUUGGGGAGAACCUUUUUUUUUUUUUUUUAAAUUCUUUAUUUCAGUAGACUGUCCAUG